rnacentral:rRNA from 1 species
UACGGGGGGGCAAGCGUUGUUCGGAAUUACUGGGCGUAAAGGGCUCGUAGGCGGCCAACUAAGUCGGAUGUGAAAUCCCCAGGCUUAACCUGGGAACUGCAUCCGAUACUGGAUGGCUUGAAUCCGGGAGAGGGAUGCAGAAUUCCAGGUGUAGCGGUGAAAUGCGUAGAUAUCGGGAAGAACACCCGUGGCGAAGGCGGCAUCCUGGACCAAUAUUGACGCUGAGGAGCGAAAGCCAGGGGAGCAAACGGGG